rnacentral:rRNA from 1 species
GACGAACGCUGGCGGCGUGCCUAACACAUGCAAGUCGAGCGGGGUCCAACCAGUGGCAACACUGGGGAAGACCUAGCGGCGAACGGGUGAGUAACACGUGAGGAACCUGCCCCGAAGACUGGGAUAACUCCGGGAAACCGGAGCUAAUACCGGAUGCCCUCACCAAGCCGCAUGGCCGGGUGAGGAAAGGUUAAUUCUGCUUCGGGAGGGUCUCGCGGCCUAUCAGCUUGUUGGUGAGGUAACGGCUCACCAAGGCGUCGACGGGUAGCUGGUCUGAGAGGACGAUCAGCCACACUGGGACUGAGACACGGCCCAGACUCCUACGGGAGGCAGCAGUGGGGAAUCUUGCGCAAUGGGCGAAAGCCUGACGCAGCAACGCCGCGUGGGGGAUGACGGCUUUCGGGUUGUAAACCCCUUUCAGCAGGGACGAUAGUGACGGUACCUGCAGAAGAAGCCCCGGCCAACUACGU